rnacentral:lncRNA from 1 species
CUUUGUAGGUUNGUCCGCGGGUACUGGGUUUAAUGGGUUUAACUCAUCCCCUUUCUUAAACGUCAAGUCGGCAUCGCCGAUGUAACGCGGGCACAGAAAUGCUGCAACUGGCCGCAUCAUUCCAUCCCAGCCUUAUUCAACCUCGCCUCUCACCGGAAUUCCAUCGCCGACACUCUCUCCAGCAAACUUCAAACGCAAAAGAAUUAACCCUACUCCACGCUCAACCCAUUUUCACUUCAACAACCCUUUCCAACAACAAUCAGAGCAGUAUCUAUAACAAUGAAAAACUCGUUAAGAAGGCUCUCUUUUCUUACAAUACCAUUAUCAAAUGCUUCCUUCAAAACCGUCGCUCUCAGGAUGCUCUUGUGGUUUUUGUGGAUUUGCUUUGUUGUCCGGGGAUGUUGCCAGACGAGUUCACGUUACCGUGUGUGAUCAAGGCGUGUGCGAAUCUAAGGACUAUUAAGGAAGGGAAAAUGAUUCAUGGGUUGGCGUUGAAACUCGGUUUUGGGUCUGGUUCGGGUGUUCAUGUGGAGAGUAGUUUGGUGAGUUUGUAUUCAAAAUGUGGUGAUAUUGAUUCUGCACGGAAAGUUUUUGAUAAAAUGCUUGUGAAGGAUUUGGUUUCAUGGAAUGUGUUGUUGGAUGGUUACGUAAAGUGUGGUGGGGAGAAUAUUGAGGUUAUUCUGAGACUGUUUGAUGAGAUGCCCGAAAAGGAUGCCUUCUCAUGUACUGUGUUGAUUGAUGGGUUGGCCAAGAGUGGAAGAGUUGACGAAGCAAGAGAGGUGUUUGAUAGUAUGUUGGAUAAGAAUGUGGCUUCAUGGAAUGCAAUGAUUUAUGGGUAUAUGAAGUAUGGAAACUAUAAACUCGCAGGUGAUUUGUUUGAUAGAAUGGACGAGAGAAAUAUAAUCACUUGGAAUUCGAUAAUUUCUGGGUAUGAAUUAAAUGGUAAGUUUCUGGAAGCUCUGCGAAUGUUUCAGGUGAUGUUGGAUAAGGGCCUCAAGGCUAAUGAUGUGACGAUAGUUAGUGUACUUUCUGCAAUUUCGAAGUUGGCUUCGCUUAGUAAAGGUAGGUGGGUGCAUUCGUAUAUGUCAAAAGCUGGGUAUAGAUUAGAUGGUGUACUUGGUAUAUCUUUGAUAGAAAUGUACUCCAAGUGUGGGAGCAUUGAGAGUGCUUUGAUGGUUUUUCGAGGAAUAUCCAAGAAGAAGCUGGGGCAUUGGACAGCCAUUAUUGUAGGAUUGGGGAUGCAUGGUAUGGCUCCUGAUGCAACUGACUUGUUUCUUGAAAUGCAAAGGAAUGGAAUUAAGCCUAAUGCCAUUACAUUUGUUGGAGUCUUGAAUGCUUGUAGUCAUGUGGGAAUGGUGGAUGAUGGUCGGCGUUAUUUUUCUAUGAUGAAAAAUGAGUAUGGAAUAGAACAAACUGUUGAGCACUAUGGUUGCUUGGUGGACAUUCUUUGUCGAGCUGGUCAUCUUGAUGAGGCAAAGAGUACCAUUGAAAAGAUGCCUAUGAAGCCAAGCAAGAUAAUAUGGAUGACUUUACUUAGCAGUGCAAGAAAUUAUAGAAACAUUGAUAUUGGUGAAUAUGCAGCAAAGAACUUGAUCGAGUUAGCUCCUGAAACUGUUCAGUGCUAUGUACUCCUUUCUAAUAUGUAUGCUGUUGCAGGACAGUGGGAAAAAGUUUCGCUGGUUAGAGAAAUGAUGAAGAGGAGAGGGUUUAAGAAAGAACCAGGGUGUAGUUCAAUUGAACACAAGGGUGUGCUUCAUGAAUUCAUGGUAGGAGACAAAUCCCAUCCUCAAUCUGAAUUGAUAUAUUCGAAAUUGAGUGAGAUGAAGAAUAAGUUGAGACUAGCGGGACAUGUUCCUGAUACGACUCAAGUAUUAUUAUUUGUUGAAGGGGAGAAAGAGAAACAAGCUGAACUGGAAAACCAUAGUGAGAGGUUGGCUAUCGCAUUCGGCCUUAUAAACGUUGACCGAAAAAAUCACAUUCGUGUGGUGAAGAACCUUAGAGUUUGUAACGACUGCCAUUCUGUGAUGAAGUUUCUGUCCAAGAUCUAUGAACGUGUAAUUAUUGUGAGAGAUAAUAGCAGGUUCCAUCAUUUCAAAAAUGGGUCAUGUUCAUGCAACGACUAUUGGUGAUUGAGAAUUAUGCUGUCUCACAUUAAGGUCUUGUUUCAGUUUGUUCAACUAAUAACAUGAUGGAGACCCAACCAUCACUCCCAAAAGCACAGGUUUGAGGGUGAUUGAAUCUCACAACUAUUAGGCCCUAACAAUACCCAAUGGCCCCAAAUCUGACGGCCACAGCGGCCCAAUCCAUGACCUUUGCUUUACGUGGCCGGCCAUUAUUUGACUGCCGGUAUUUGGCACUUAGUUUUGGUCGCCCCUUCCGGAAUUCGAACUUGUGGCUUGGGUCUACUCUGAUACCAAUUGAUGGAGACCCAACCAUCUCUCCCAAAAGCCCAGGCUUGAGGGUGAUUGAAUUCCACAACUAUUAGAUCCUAACAUGACAUUAGGAUUGUGUUUUAGCUAUACCCCCAAUUAGGAGAGCUAGUCUUUUGGCUGUACGCAAAAUCUUCACAUGGUGGAUGUAUGUCCUGAGAUACGGUCCAGUACAUUAUGCAAUUUCUCAGACCUUGGAGGAUUCAUGCUUGCGCCUUUUUCGUCCUUACAGCAUAACCAGUGUAAUUUUCUUUUUGUUGCCAUAUGCUUUUUAUUUUUAUAUGUCACCUACACUACAAUUCCUUGUGCUGUCUGCUAGUCAUUUAUUUACUUCACUUUUUCUUUUCUGUGGAUGCAUGCCCUCAUUACUAGAAAUGCGAGGUCUUUUAUUCUGUUUUCAAACAUUAAGAGUCAUAAUCAAUCCUAUUUCAGGCCUCAAUUUUUAUUUGAUAGAAUUAUUAAUCUUAAUGUCAUGGUAAUUGCUUUGUCAAUUAGCAUCUAUAUCUCAUGUGCUUCCUGUACAUGGCAGGCACAUGGUUUCAUGUACUGAUUAUCAUAUAUGGAGAUUGCUUACAGAACUAUAAAUUUGUGUUCCAUACAGUGAAGUUCACUGAAACAUGAUCUUGGAGUGCACAAUCGGUGUCAUUAUUGGAAACCUUGACUGAAAAAUCUUGUCAUCUUAUUAAUAUGGUUAAAACUUAAAUACUUCAUCAAUUGUCAAUUAGUGAAAAUGAACAGUUCAAAAUUUAAAAUAUGAGCUGGUGCAUGGGAAUUAUAGCUUACUAUCAAAGACUUCCACUCCAUUAGACCCAGGAUAUUGAGCCCUGUUUGGGCCCCGUUUUUGGAGAAUGGAUUUUGUAAAAAGUGUUUUUUUUUUUUUUAAAAUGAGUUUGGGUAAAAAUGAGUUUUAAAGAAUGGGGCUCAAAUGGGUGCUGAUAAUUUUUAAUUAAUCAAUUUGCUUUCUUGCCAUCAGAUUGCGCAAGAGAGGCAAAUAUUUCCAAAAAGGGAAAGGACACAUCUAAUUCGUACAUUAGAAGUACUAGACAUGGAUGAUAUACAAUCAUAUUAUAAUGAAACAUAAAGUUUCCGAGCAAUUGCUUCGAAAUAUAAUGAGUUUUGAUGCACAUUGAUGUUUAUUGAACUUGUUAAAUUCAUUCCUUUUGCCAUAUUAUGUCUUGGAAUGAUUGUUAUUUGCUUAUAUUCAUAUUAUUAGGUGAUGAAUUUGGUCAGUAAUUCUCUCUAUUGUGUGCCUUGGCAGUUUUGAAUUCAAUUAUUUCAAGAACUUCCAUGUCAUGUCGCCUGCACCUUUUCCAUUGUAGCAUGUAUUGUUGGAGUGAUUAUCGUUCUUUUUCUUGUUCUGACACUGACCAAGCAGCCUCUAACUUUGUCUCACUUUCACAUGACAAUCUUCUAUGAAAUAAAUGAAUGCAUUUUAUGGAGUCCGUUACUGUUUGCAUGCUGGGGAAAAAAGAAGAUGCAUCCUUAUGGUUAUAGUGCUAUGUUAUCACAUAAUCCAAAAAUGUUGUCAAUCUUCCUUACUGCAAAUUUCACUAAUUGUGAACAAAAAUGCAUGAGUCCAUUGGUCUUCAUUGCAGGUGUCAUUUUACUGAUUUCAGUUGAGACCCAUAUAUUAGGGAGGAUGAGCUUUUUUAGAAUGAGGGAAGGAAAGAUAGAAGCCUAUUAAUACUCCUGAUAAUGACGUUAUUCAAGAUGACUCCUAUGAGGUAAGUGACUUUGUUAACCCCAAUUGUUCCAUAUUUACAUUUAUUGCACUUUGCAAGAGCUAAGUGUUUGGGAAGAUUGCCCAUGAUAAUAAAAAUAUUAAAACUUGGACAAAGUAUUCACUUAAGAAAUAAUGUGGCUCUACUAUAAAAUAACAACAAUGGAUUACAAGAUAAGUUUCAAAUAUGAGUUACAAAGUAUCUCAAACUUUCUAUUUCUCUCAAAAACAAACUUUUAUCUUUCUCAAAUCCUCACUUAGUGCUCAAUUGUUUUUGGCACUCACUUAUUAAACACAUAUAUAGUAUGAACACAUCCUGAGGCCUAUUUAUAGAUUUUUUAAGUUAGUUUGCCACUUGACAAUACAACUUGCAUUUCUCAUUUAGAAGAUUAAAAAUCAAACAUGAAUUUGACCAAUCAAUAAGCAUUUUUCCAUAAACAUCUGCCUAUCAUGUAUAAAAACAUUGUAACACUCUUUAUAGAACUCUGCCUAUCAUAUCCAUCUGCAAUGAGUGCAUAUUUUUCAUUAUUUUACAGAAUUCGUUAUUUAAUCUCUGCAAGAAAACUAAAAAUAGGGUCAACAAAGUUUUGGUCUGAAGCAACACGACACUAAAGAAUUGUCCAGGUUCUUCAAAAAAUUGGAUGACCUGUCUCAAUUAAAGCUCUGUU